CCCCAGCCUAAUAAAGGCCCAGGCCAGCCAGGCUCCCUCACCUCACCUGUCCCUCACUGGUCCAGGCAGGUGCUCACCUGUCCUGUCCCUCACUGGUCCAGUGCCCCUCCCACCAGCCAUGAGGCUCCUCCUGUCGCUCCCGG